AUGAGGAGUAAAUUCGAGAAAAGUUAUAAUGAUUUAUGUUCAAAAAAUUGAGUGUGGGCUGUUUAAAAAAAUAUUUGGACAAAUAUUUUAUUAAUGUUUUACGGUUUUUAUUCUUGUUUUUUGUUUUGUUUUUUGUGGUAGUUAUCCAAGCCAAACGACAAGAUGAAGACACCUAUGUUGUUCAGUGGGUUUGGCACACAUAAUGUGACGAAGUGGUGGAUUCUAAAAAUGACGGAUGAAAGCUACAGAGAAAAUGGCAUAUGUUGCAUUUUUUUUCGCGGUUGGCGUUUUUGUCUCAAACGUCGAAGCCAGCUGCCAUAGCGGCACAUUUGAGCAAAAUGGAGAAUGUUUACCGUGCCCCAUCGGCACAUUUAUCUACGAUGAUGACCAUCGUUUGCGAAAAUGUUAUCCUAAAUGUCAAAAUAAAACAACAACUCACUGCCAAAAACAAGAAUUCUACGGUGAACAAAUUGGGAACGAGUUCAGGGUGAUUUGCCAAGUCACCACUUAUCCUCGUGCUGUUGUAAUGUUUAAGGCACGGGUUCCCAACCUGGGGGUCGCGAAGGGCUUUCUAGGGGG